rnacentral:rRNA from 1 species
AAUUCGAUUAGUUUGAUCAUGGCUCAGGACGAACGCUGGCGGCGCGCUUAACACAUGCAAGUCGAGCGAGAACCAGGGCUUCGGCCCUGGGGACAGCGGCGAACGGGUGAGUAACACGUGGGUAAUCUGCCCUUGACAUCGGGAUAGCCCGGGGAAACCCGGAUUAAUACCGAAUAGCCUCCGGAGCCCUCGGGCGCCGGAGAAAAGGUAGCUUCGGCCUCUGGUCAAGGAUGAGCCCGCGGCGGAUUAGCUUGUUGGCGGGGUAAUGGCCCACCAAGGCGACGAUCCGUAGCUGGUCUGAGAGGACGAUCAGCCACACUGGGACUGAGACACGGCCCAGACUCCUACGGGAGGCAGCAGUGGGGAAUCUUGCGCAAAUGCGGGAAACCGUGACGCAGCGACGCCGCGUGGGGGAAGAAGGCCUUCGGGUUGUAAACCUCUUUCAGGAGGGACGAAGCUACUCGGGUUAAUAGCCCAGAGGGUGACGGUACCUUCAGAGGAAGCCCCGGCUAACUACGUGCCAGCAGCCGCGGUAAUACGUAGGGGGCUAGCGUUGUCCGGAUUUAUUGGGCGUAAAGAGCGUGUAGGCGGCCAGAUAGGUCUGCUGUGAAAACUUGAGGCUCAACCUCAAGCUGUCGGCGGAAACCAUUCGGCUAGAGUCCGGAAGAGGAGAGUGGAAUUCCUGGUGUAGCGGUGAAAUGCGCAGAUAUCAGGAAGAACACCUAUGGCGAAGGCAGCUCCCUGGGA